rnacentral:lncRNA from 1 species
GGCAUAUGGAAGAAAACAUAUCCUGGAUAUAAUGGAUCAGCGAGAUGGAAAGAGCUGGGUUUCUGGGUGACUUUGUGCAGUGGAGCCCCCUGCUUGUGUCAGACCAUCUGCCUCCUUCUGGAUUCUUAGGUACCAUCCAAGCCCUAGGGAAAUAAGAUGCAGCACCAAGGUACCAAGGAAAAGGGUAGAAGCACUCCGAGUUGACCUGAGAUGAACUUUUCACCACUCUUGAAGAAUGAGGACUUGAACUAGUGAUCACUUUCAGUUCUAGAAAAAUAAGGUGGCCGGGUGAGGUGGCUCAUGCCUGUACUCCCAGUGCUUUGGGAGGCCGAGGUGGGCGGAUCACGAGAUCAGGAGUUUGAGACUAGCCCGGCCAACAUGGUGAAACCUCGUCUCUACUAAAAAUACAAAAAAUUAGCUGGGCAAGGUGGUGGGCACCUGUAAUCCCAGCUGCUCAGGAGGCUGAGGCAGGAGAAUUGCUUGAACCCGGGAGGCAGAGGUUGCAGUGAGCCGAGAUCACGCCAUUGCACUCCAGCCUGGGCGACAGUGCGAGGCUCUCAAAACAAACAAACAAAAAAAAAUGCACAAAAAACAAAAAUAAGAUUACAUCUCUUAAGUCUCUAAAUUGGGAACUGAAAUUCACACCUGCAACAUCUUUAAUGAUCCAAUGGAAAGAAGUCCAAACUCCUUGACCAGGGUUUGACAAAUUAUGGCCCACGGGCCAAAUUUGGUUGGCUGCCUGUUUUUGUUAUUAAAGAGUUUUUGGAAUACUG